UGAUAUGUCAAGAGCUUUGUAUUGUUCUGAACAACCAAUUAAAAAAAGUUAAAGAAAAAAGAAGUAUCACUGAUACUCUAGUGUUGAGGGUCUCUGCAGCCCUAUAAAACCACUGCCAGGUGGUGUUCCCACCCCCCCAUACUUAGGAAAUCAUCUAGUUUCCUCUGAUUAAGCAAUAUCAAGAUUUCAAAGAAAGGUUCAGUCCUCAUUUUCAAGUUAAUUUGAGACGAUUCCAACUCAGUGAAACCAGAGGGAGUCGGGGAUGCAUUCUUGUCCCCUGGGCAGGGGCAGGUGACUGAGUUCCUGUGGACAGGUUGGCCAACAUUCUUCCAGAGCCCCAGUAACAGGCCAGGUUUGUGUAGGGAGAAGAGGUGAGAAGGGGAACUGAUGUUUUAGAACAUGAAAACGGGGUGCCCAUUCAGGGCAUGGAGACGUCGGACGUCGGGGUGAGGAGAUGCACCUUGUGCCUCAUCACACACUCCCCUCAGUCUCUCCUUCUCUGGGCCUCCUCCUGAUCUUGCCACUCAAAUGAAAAUGCUGCUGUCCACUGACUAGUUAGGCCCAAAGUUUCCACCCCUCAGGGCAGGCCCAGCAUCUCAGGAAAUAGGUCCAUGGCAUGGUUUAUGGGGCCCAGUUAGAAAAGAAAAGAUGGUGUCCCUGGUUUAAAAAUGUUUGAGUUUGACAGCAAGCUAGGCAUGAAUCCAAGCUCCGGGCCCUUCUGAGUAUGGGGCCAUCUGCAACCACACAAGUUAUGUGCCCCAAUGGCAACCCUGACUCCAGGACAUCCCCAAAGCAACUGUGUGGCCAUGGAAAGGCCAAGGUGGGUUUGUCACACUCAGGCCUAUACCGAGCCCCCUGCAUGUACAUGUGUCAUUGGGAGGCCCUUCUCCUCCUCUCUGUGGGCCCAAUCAAAGGCACUGGCUUCUCUGAGAGCCCUUUGUUUGAAUGAGAAAGGGCAGCAGUGUCGGGAUUAGAGGGCUUCAGGUAGCCAUCUAAACCGGCAGAGGCACAGAAAGGGAGGGGAGGGGAGGGCAGGAGGCCUGCUGCUUUGGAGAGACUUCAGAGGAAUGUGAGCCGAAGGCCCUCCAAGAAGCCACAACAAGGAAGAAAUUCUUCCUCUCCCAGGCUCCUGCUCAGAGGACUGGUAUCAGAUGACUCCCUCCAGCCAGCCGGCCUGCUGCAAAGAAAGAGCACAGGGCUGAGUGUGAGAGCUUGCACAGGGCCAGAGGGCUCCCUGACCUUCCUGAACAUAGUCGCCCCCCACCCCCAUGCCCUCUGUGGGGCACCUGCAGUGCAUUAGAAGAGGACUUUCCGAGAGCUUGGUUGCCGACCUGUCUGCACAGAGUCCCAAGGAGUCUUGACAUCUCAUAUGCACUGAACCCAGCUCAUCUUCAGGAAUGUCUUGACUAUUCUUCACUCUUCCAGAAAAUUCUUAGAAUCGGUGCCUCUCGCAGAAAACCAUCCGGGUUUUGAUUGGAGCUUUAUCGAAUUUAUUGUGAAAAGUGUGCUAAAAUCCCCACUGUGAAGGUCAAUUAAUCCCAUUCACUGUGUCAUUCUGCCCAUGGCAUAUAUUUUGUGCAUAUUUCUUUUGCUCACUUGUAUAUUUGAAGCUAUGCUAUCGGGUUCAUAUACUGCCAUACUUUCCUAUUAUACAAUGACCUUCUAAUGAAGAUAGUUUUGCUUUAUUGAAUCAAGUUUACUUGAUAUGAUAUAAAUACAGCAAACCCAGCAGUAUUUAUUAAUUUUUCCUUGGAUAUUUUUUCUGUCAAUUUACUUCAAGCUUUCAUUGUUUUGUUUCAGAUAUGCCUUUUGUCCAUAGCCAGAUCUUGUUUUUAGGUAAUCUGAUGAUCUUAGCAUUUAAUGUUAAGGUUUAGAUGAUUUACUGUAAUUGUAGCAAUUGAGAUAUUAAUAAUAUUA